rnacentral:rRNA from 1 species
GGGUUGUGAGGUUAAGCGACUAAGCGUACACGGUGGAUGCCCUGGCAGUCAGAGGCGAUGAAGGACGUGCUAAUCUGCGAUAAGCGUCGGUAAGGUGAUAUGAACCGUUAUAACCGGCGAUUUCCGAAUGGGGAAACCCAGUGUGUUUCGACACACUAUCAUUAACUGAAUCCAUAGGUUAAUGAGGCGAACCGGGGGAACUGAAACAUCUAAGUACCCCGAGGAAAAGAAAUCAACCGAGAUUCCCCCAGUAGCGGCGAGCGAACGGGGAGCAGCCCAGAGCCUGAAUCAGUAUGUGUGUUAGUGGAAGCGUCUGGAAAGGCGCGCGAUACAGGGUGACAGCCCCGUACACAAAAAUGCACAUAUUGUGAGCUCGAUGAGUAGGGCGGGACACGUGGUAUCCUGUCUGAAUAUGGGGGGACCAUCCUCCAAGGCUAAAUACUCCUGACUGACCGAUAGUGAACCAGUACCGUGAGGGAAAGGCGAAAAGAACCCCGGCGAGGGGAGUGAAAAAGAACCUGAAACCGUGUACGUACAAGCAGUGGGAGCACGCUUAGGCGUGUGACUGCGUACCUUUUGUAUAAUGGGUCAGCGACUUAUAUUCUGUAGCAAGGUUAACCGAAUAGGGGAGCCGAAGGGAAACCGAGUCUUAACUGGGCGUUAAGUUGCAGGGUAUAGACCCGAAACCCGGUGAUCUAGCCAUGGGCAGGUUGAAGGUUGGGUAACACUAACUGGAGGACCGAACCGACUAAUGUUGAAAAAUUAGCGGAUGACUUGUGGCUGGGGGUGAAAGGCCAAUCAAACCGGGAGAUAGCUGGUUCUCCCCGAAAGCUAUUUAGGUAGCGCCUCGUGAAUUCAUCUCCGGGGGUAGAGCACUGUUUCGGCAAGGGGGUCAUCCCGACUUACCAACCCGAUGCAAACUGCGAAUACCGGAGAAUGUUAUCACGGGAGACACACGGCGGGUGCUAACGUCCGUCGUGAAGAGGGAAACAACCCAGACCGCCAGCUAAGGUCCCAAAGUCAUGGUUAAGUGGGAAACGAUGUGGGAAGGCCCAGACAGCCAGGAUGUUGGCUUAGAAGCAGCCAUCAUUUAAAGAAAGCGUAAUAGCUCACUGGUCGAGUCGGCCUGCGCGGAAGAUGUAACGGGGCUAAACCAUGCACCGAAGCUGCGGCAGCGACACUAUGUGUUGUUGGGUAGGGGAGCGUUCUGUAAGCCUGUGAAGGUGUGCUGUGAGGCAUGCUGGAGGUAUCAGAAGUGCGAAUGCUGACAUAAGUAACGAUAAAGCGGGUGAAAAGCCCGCUCGCCGGAAGACCAAGGGUUCCUGUCCAACGUUAAUCGGGGCAGGGUGAGUCGACCCCUAAGGCGAGGCCGAAAGGCGUAGUCGAUGGGAAACAGGUUAAUAUUCCUGUACUUGGUGUUACUGCGAAGGGGGGACGGAGAAGGCUAUGUUGGCCGGGCGACGGUUGUCCCGGUUUAAGCGUGUAGGCUGGUUUUCCAGGCAAAUCCGGAAAAUCAAGGCUGAGGCGUGAUGACGAGGCACUACGGUGCUGAAGCAACAAAUGCCCUGCUUCCAGGAAAAGCCUCUAAGCAUCAGGUAACAUCAAAUCGUACCCCAAACCGACACAGGUGGUCAGGUAGAGAAUACCAAGGCGCUUGAGAGAACUCGGGUGAAGGAACUAGGCAAAAUGGUGCCGUAACUUCGGGAGAAGGCACGCUGAUAUGUAGGUGAGGUCCCUCGCGGAUGGAGCUGAAAUCAGUCGAAGAUACCAGCUGGCUGCAACUGUUUAUUAAAAACACAGCACUGUGCAAACACGAAAGUGGACGUAUACGGUGUGACGCCUGCCCGGUGCCGGAAGGUUAAUUGAUGGGGUUAGCGCAAGCGAAGCUCUUGAUCGAAGCCCCGGUAAACGGCGGCCGUAACUAUAACGGUCCUAAGGUAGCGAAAUUCCUUGUCGGGUAAGUUCCGACCUGCACGAAUGGCGUAAUGAUGGCCAGGCUGUCUCCACCCGAGACUCAGUGAAAUUGAACUCGCUGUGAAGAUGCAGUGUACCCGCGGCAAGACGGAAAGACCCCGUGAACCUUUACUAUAGCUUGACACUGAACAUUGAGCCUUGAUGUGUAGGAUAGGUGGGAGGCUUAGAAGUGUGGACGCCAGUCUGCAUGGAGCCGACCUUGAAAUACCACCCUUUAAUGUUUGAUGUUCUAACGUUGACCCGUAAUCCGGGUUGCGGACAGUGUCUGGUGGGUAGUUUGACUGGGGCGGUCUCCUCCUAAAGAGUAACGGAGGAGCACGAAGGUUGGCUAAUCCUGGUCGGACAUCAGGAGGUUAGUGCAAUGGCAUAAGCCAGCUUGACUGCGAGCGUGACGGCGCGAGCAGGUGCGAAAGCAGGUCAUAGUGAUCCGGUGGUUCUGAAUGGAAGGGCCAUCGCUCAACGGAUAAAAGGUACUCCGGGGAUAACAGGCUGAUACCGCCCAAGAGUUCAUAUCGACGGCGGUGUUUGGCACCUCGAUGUCGGCUCAUCACAUCCUGGGGCUGAAGUAGGUCCCAAGGGUAUGGCUGUUCGCCAUUUAAAGUGGUACGCGAGCUGGGUUUAGAACGUCGUGAGACAGUUCGGUCCCUAUCUGCCGUGGGCGCUGGAGAACUGAGGGGGGCUGCUCCUAGUACGAGAGGACCGGAGUGGACGCAUCACUGGUGUUCGGGUUGUCAUGCCAAUGGCACUGCCCGGUAGCUAAAUGCGGAAGAGAUAAGUGCUGAAAGCAUCUAAGCACGAAACUUGCCCCGAGAUGAGUUCUCCCUGACUCCUUGAGAGUCCUGAAGGAACGUUGAAGACGACGACGUUGAUAGGCCGGGUGUGUAAGCGCAGCGAUGCGUUGAGCUAACCGGUACUAAUGAACCGUGAGGCUUAACCUUACAACGCCGAAGGUGUUU